UACUAGAGUAGCACUCGCAUAUCAAUAAGCGGAGGAAAAGAAACUAACAAGGAUUCCCCUAGUAACGGCGAGUGAAGCGGGAAGAGCUCAAAUUUGAAAUCUUAAAGGGUUUCCCUUUACGAAUUGUAGUUUAAAGAAGUGUUUUCUGUUGAGGUUUUGGUAAAAGUUCUUUGGAAUAGGACAUCAUAGAGGGUGAGAAUCCCGUAUUUGACCUUUACUUUCAACUUUGUGAUACACUUUCAAAGAGUCGGAUUGUUUGGGAAUGCAGUCCAAAAUGGGUGGUAAAUUUCAUCUAAAGCUAAAUAUUGGCGAGAGACCGAUAGCGAACAAGUACCGUGAGGGAAAGGAUGAAAAGAACUUUGAAAAGAGAGUUAAACAGUACGUGAAAUUGUCAAAAGGGAAGCGUUUGACACCAGUGUUGUUUUUCUGAAAAUCAAUUAAAGAACUGUUUAUGCUAAGCUGUUUAGACUUUAUCAGCUAUCUGUUUAGUUUUAGGCUUUUCUUUAAUGCACUUUCAGUUAACAAGUCAACAUCAAUUUCUUUUGCUGUAAAAAAGCUUGAGGAAGGUGGCUUGAGAUUCGUCUUAAGUGUUUAUAGCCUCUUGCCUAUGCAGUCGGAGAGAUUGAGGUCUGCAGCGUAGAUCCUUCGGGGCUAAAUGCAUUUGUGCUAAGUUAUAGCAUUUUAUAGACAACUUGUUGACUAUGAUUUGUCUUGUAGCUUACUCGCUUAUGUUAUUUUACCUACGCUUAGGAUGUUGAGCGCAUGUCUCUCUCU
rnacentral:rRNA from 1 species